rnacentral:rRNA from 1 species
ACGAACGCUGGCGGCACGCUUAACACAUGCAAGUCGAACGAGAGAAGAGGAGCUUGCUUUUCUGAUCUAGUGGCGGACGGGUGAGUAACACGUGAGCAAUCUGCCUUUCAGAGGGGGAUACCGAUUGGAAACGAUCGUUAAUACCGCAUAACAUAAUUGAACCGCAUGAUUUGAUUAUCAAAGAUUUAUCGCUGAAAGAUGAGCUCGCGUCUGAUUAGCUAGUUGGUAAGGUAACGGCUUACCAAGGCGACGAUCAGUAGCCGGACUGAGAGGUUGAUCGGCCACAUUGGGACUGAGACACGGCCCAGACUCCUACGGGAGGCAGCAGUGGGGAAUAUUGCACAAUGGAGGAAACUCUGAUGCAGCGAUGCCGCGUGAGGGAAGAAGGUUUUAGGAUUGUAAACCUCUGUCUUCAGGGACGAAAAAAGACGGUACCUGAGGAGGAAGCUCCGGCUAACUACGUGCCAGCAGCCGCGGUAAUACGUAGGGAGCGAGCGUUGUCCGGAAUUACUGGGUGUAAAGGGAGCGUAGGCGGGAUCGCAAGUCAGAUGUGAAAACUAUGGGCUUAACCCAUAAACUGCAUUUGAAACUGUGGUUCUUGAGUGAAGUAGAGGUAAGCGGAAUUCCUAGUGUAGCGGUGAAAUGCGUAGAUAUUAGGAGGAACAUCAGUGGCGAAGGCGGCUUACUGGGCUUUAACUGACGCUGGGGCUCGAAAGCGUGGGGAGCAAACAGGAUUAGAUACCCUGGUAGUCCACGCCGUAAACGAUGAUUACUAGGUGUGGGAGGACUGACCCCUUCCGUGCCGCAGCAAACGCAAUAAGUAAUCCACCUGGGGAGUACGACCGCAAGGUUGAAACUCAAAGGAAUUGACGGGGGCCCGCACAAGCAGUGGAGUAUGUGGAUUAAUUCGAAGCAACGCGAAGAACCUUACCAGGUCUUGACAUCGUAUGCAUAGCUCAGAGAUGAGUGAAAUCUCUUCGGAGACAUAUAGACAGGUGGUGCAUGGUUGUCGUCAGCUCGUGUCGUGAGAUGUUGGGUUAAGUCCCGCAACGAGCGCAACCCUUACUGUUAGUUGCUACGCAAGAGCACUCUAGCAGGACUGCCGUUGACAAAACGGAGGAAGGUGGGGAUGACGUCAAAUCAUCAUGCCCCUUAUGACCUGGGCCUCACACGUACUACAAUGGCUGUCAACAGAGGGAAGCAAAGCCGCGAGGUGGAGCAAACCCCUAAAAGCAGUCUUAGUUCGGAUUGUAGGCUGCAACCCGCCUACAUGAAGUCGGAAUUGCUAGUAAUCGCAGAUCAGCAUGCUGCGGUGAAUACGUUCCCGGGCCUUGUACACACCGCCCGUCACGCCAUGGGAGUCGGUAACACCCGAAGCCUGUAGUCUAACCGCAAGGAGGACGCAGUCGAAGGUGGGAUUGAUGACUGGGGUG